CAUACCUAUUCGAAGGGAUAGGGUCGGUUUGGCCGGAUUUCACACAGGUGUUGCAUGGCUGUCGUCAGCUCGUGUCGUGAGAUGUUGGGUUAAGUCCCGCAACGAGCGCAACCCUCAUCCUUAGUUACCAUCAGGUUAUGCUGGGGACUUUAAGGAAACUGCCAGUGAUAAACUGGAGGAAGGUGGGGAUGAUGUCAAGUCAUCAUGGCCCUUAUGGAGUGGGCUACACACGUGCUACAAUGGUGAUUACAAUGGGCUGCAAGGUCGCAAGGCUGAGCUAAUCCUAAAAAAUCAUCUCAGUUCGGAUUGUUCUCUGCAACUCGAGAGCAUGAAGUUGGAAUCGCUAGUAAUCGUGGAUCAGCAUGCCACGGUGAAUACGUUCUCGGGUCUUGUACACACUGCCCGUCACGCCAUGGGAAUUGGUUUCACUCCAAGCU
rnacentral:rRNA from 1 species